rnacentral:rRNA from 1 species
AGCGAACGCUGGCGGCAGGCCUAACACAUGCAAGUCGAACGAACUCUUCGGAGUUAGUGGCGGACGGGUGAGUAACACGUGGGAACGUGCCUUUAGGUUCGGAAUAGCUCCUGGAAACGGGUGGUAAUGCCGAAUGUGCCCUUCGGGGGAAAGAUUUAUCGCCUUUAGAGCGGCCCGCGUCUGAUUAGCUAGUUGGUGGGGUAAUGGCCCACCAAGGCUACGACCAGUAGCUGGUCUUAGAGGAUGACCAGCCACAUGGGGACUGAGACACGGCCCAAACUCCUACGGGAGGCAGCAGUGGGGAAUCUUGCGCAAUGGGCGAAAGCCUGACGCAGCCAUGCCGCGUGUAUGAUGAAGGUCUUAGGAUUGUAAAAUACUUUCACCGGUGAAGAUAAUGACUGUAGCCGGAGAAGAAGCCCCGGCUAACUUCGUGCCAGCAGCCGCGGUAA